UAUUGGGCGUAAGCGCGCGCAGGUGGUUCCUUAAGUCUGAUGUGAAAGCCCACGGCUCAACCGUGGAGGGUCAUUGGAAACUGGGGAACUUGAGUGCAGAAGAGGAAAGUGGAAUUUCACGUGUAGCGGUGAAAUGCGUAGAGAUGUGGAGGAACACCAGUGGCGAAGGCGACUUUCUGGUCUGUAACUGACACUGAGGCGCGAAAGCGUGGGGAGCGAACAGGAUUAGAUACCCUGGUAGUCCACGCCGUAAACGAUGAGUGCUAAGUGUUAGAGGGUUUCCGCCCUUUAGUGCUGCAGCUAACGCAUUAAGCACUCCGCCUGGGGAGUACGGCCGCAAGGCUGAAACUCAAAGGAAUUGACGGGGGCCCGCACAAGCUGUGGAGCAUGUGGUUUAAUUCGAAGCAACGCGAAGAACCUUACCAGGUCUUGACAUCCUCUGACAACCCUAGAGAUAGGGCCUUCCCUUUCGGGGGACAGAGUGACAGGUGGUGCAUGGUUGUCGUCAGCUCGUGUCGUGAGAUGUUGGGUUAAGUCCCGCAACGAGCGCAACCCUUGAUCUUAGUUGCCAGCAUUCAGUUGGGCACUCUAAGGUGACUGCCGGUGACAAACCGGAGGAAGGUGGGGAUGACGUCAAAUCAUCAUGCCCCUUAUGACCUGGGCUACACACGUGCUACAAUGGAUGGUACAAAGAGCCCGCAAACCCGCGAGGGCAAGCUAAUCUCAUAAAGCCAUUCUCAGUUCGGAUUGCAGGCUGCAACUCGCCUGCAUGAAGCCGGAAUCGCUAGUAAUCGCGGAUCAGCAUGCCGCGGUGAAUACGUUCCCGGGCCUUGUACACACCGCCCGUCACACCACGAGAGUUUGUAACACCCGAAGUCGGUGAGGUAACCUUUCGGAGCCAGCCGCCUAA
rnacentral:rRNA from 1 species